GAGAGAGAGAGAGAGAGAGUGAAACCAAAUCAAUUCUUACAAAAUCUAAAAGCAACGGAUUAAGGAACUGUUGUCGAUCUGUUGAUUUGGGCAACAGCGUCUUCCAUUCUUAAAAUGGUAAUCAAAUUGGACGGCCAAUAACUUUGUAGUCGUUGAUCAUCUGACGGCCCAGCUUCUGUCAACAUGGUUCAAUCUCAGAUCCAUGAUGUGGCAUGUGCUAAACUAUUCAAAUCAUCCCUCAAAAUUGUUCUAUCCCUACCCUUUUUUUGCUAUGAGAAUCUCGGACUCCUGAACUGCCAGCACCAGUGCCUACUCCUGACAAGAUUGGUGAUGAUGCAUCUCAUUGCAUCAAUAACAAUGGCCUUGAAAAUUGUUUAUCUGCUGGUUUACAAUAAUCUAACAAUGGCGGUGAUUAGGGAUUUCGACAAUGGGGAUGGGAGAUUAUUUUCAAUAUAAAUUUAAUUUAAAGUUAAUUGUUGAAUAAAGCAAAA
rnacentral:misc_RNA from 1 species